AAAAAAGAUAAUGGAAAUACAAGGUUCUAAGAAGAUAACAAAGAAAAAUAAAGUAAAAUAAUGUCGGAUGGCGAACAAGUGACUCACACAACAGACAAGUUUGAAAUCCUUCGGAGAUUUCGUGUAUUUUAAAUUUAAACGAAAAUGGGAAGCUCGUCAUUUGAAGAAUUUUCGUUAGAUUUGAUUUUUACUAGAAUUAUUGCUCCACAAUUAAUCGAGUAUGACAGCAAGUAGGUAUGAUUGAAGAAUUCUGUUGAGGUUGGUAAUUUUAUUUAUUUACGGUUGGUAUCAUUGCUUUGAUUUGUGUUGUCGCAAAUGGAUGACAGUUUUCUUUGUACAGGCUGUUCUACAUAAUUCAAUUUUUCAAACAUUUUUUUUAAUCCUUUAUUUUUCAUUUAGAACCUCGAAGAGUAUUUAUAACUCCAAACACCGGAGAGGGAGGAAUUCAUUUUCUUUAAACCGCGUUUAUUAUUGUUUAAUAAAAUGGAUCCAAAUUGUGUUGAGGAAUUGGGCACUUCCAUAAUUGAGACGAGUGAAUAUGAAUUGGACGAGAAAGCAGCUACUGCUGAAAUGAUACAGUUCUUUGCUAAUGUACAUACAUAUAAUGUAUGAUAAAGAAAUGUUGAGGAUUCUCGUUAUUUAUUGAAUAAGAAGGAUGCCUCGAUAAAGAAGAUGACCUCAGCCUUUACAUAAAUCCGAACAAAAAGGAAGUAAAAAGGAUAUUUUCAAGCGAUCAUCCAACGCAACUUGAGAUAGAGUACAUUAUCAAGGGAUGAAACCGUAUUAUAAGUUAUAUGCAACAAGUGUAUGUAUUUUUUAUGUAUUUCUGGAGAUAAUGCAGUGAAGAAAGGAUUUUUAUCCAGUUUUGCUUAUUGUCAAGUAUUUAAUUAUCAAGUGCAUCAGAUAGGGAAGCACUUUUUUACAAUUUGUCAAGUCCCAUGGAUUUUGGCUUUAAUAUUAGGUAUUUUUUGGUGGGUAUAUUGUAGGAUAAAUUUCCUUUUUAUUUUCUUCACUUACUUUUAACAGUUUUUCCCAUUAACUUACAUACAGUAUGUCCCCGGAUCGAGUUACAAAGAG
rnacentral:lncRNA from 1 species